CCUCUCUCAGGGUCGCACCUGGAGAGUUUCCAGUACUCUACCGGUCACAACUACAGGAGGGAGAGUCAAGCAGAGGCCUGUCCAUUCCAUUCCUAGCUUGGCCAGUGGCUAGCGAGUGGAAGGCCAUCUGCUACGAGU
rnacentral:snoRNA from 2 species